AAUGUACUUCCUCCGUCCCAAAAUAAAUGUCUCAAAAGUGACACAACUUUGUAUUAAAACUAGUGUAAAUUUAAGUCAUAUUUAAGUCAUUUAUUUUGGGACGGAGGGAGUACUUG
rnacentral:pre_miRNA from 1 species